rnacentral:rRNA from 1 species
CCUACGGGGGGCAGCAGUGGGGGAUAUUGCACAAUGGGGGAAACCCUGAUGCAGCGACGCCGCGUGGGUGAAGAAGCGCCUCGGCGCGUAAAGCCCUGUCAGCAGGGAAGAAAAGGACGGUACCUGAAGAAGAAGCCCCGGCUAACUACGUGCCAGCAGCCGCGGUAAUACGUAGGGGGCAAGCGUUAUCCGGAUUUAUUGGGUGUAAAGGGGGCGCAGACGGCGAUGCAAGCCAGGAGUGAAAGCCCGGGGCCCAACCCCGGGACUGCUCUUGGAACUGCGUGGCUAGAGUGCAGGAGGGGCAGGCGGAAUUCCUGGUGUAGCGGUGAAAUGCGUAGAUAUCAGGAGGAAUACCGGUGGCGAAGGCGGCCUGCUGGACUGCAACUGACGUUGAGGCCCGAAAGCGUGGGGAGCAAACAGGAUUAGAUACCCGAGUAGUC